AUUGAACGCUGGCGGCAUGCCUUACACAUGCAAGUCGAACGGCAGCACGGACUUCGGUCUGGUGGCGAGUGGCGAACGGGUGAGUAAUGUAUCGGAACGUACCCUUCAGUGGGGGAUAACUAUCCGAAAGGAUAGCUAAUACCGCAUAUUCUCUGAGGAGGAAAGCGGGGGAUCGCAAGACCUCGCGCUGAUGGAGCGGCCGAUAUCAGAUUAGCUAGUUGGUGGGGUAAAGGCCUACCAAGGCGACGAUCUGUAGCGGGUCUGAGAGGAUGAUCCGCCACACUGGGACUGAGACACGGCCCAGACUCCUACGGGAGGCAGCAGUGGGGAAUUUUGGACAAUGGGGGCAACCCUGAUCCAGCCAUGCCGCGUGAGUGAAGAAGGCCUUCGGGUUGUAAAGCUCUUUCGGCCGGGAAGAAAUCGCGUGAGUUAAUACCAUGCGUGGAUGACGGUACCGGAAUAAGAAGCACCGGCUAACUACGUGCCAGCCGCCACGGUAA
rnacentral:rRNA from 1 species